rnacentral:rRNA from 1 species
UAGCAUAUGCUCAUCGCGAAGAUUAAGCCAUGCAUGUCUAAGAGCAAUCAGCCUACCUUUCGGGGUAGGAAACGUGGAUCUGCGAAUAGCUCCUUAAAAGAGUCAUAAACAAGCUAACAAUGUUUUUAAAAGGAUAGCGUUGUCAACUGCAACGAUAAUACUUGCAAUAAGCGAUGGUGCAAAUAACUGGAUUUGUUCACCAUAAGUGAGGUCCUCCCGGGCUUCGCAGACUAACGAAAGUUAGCUUGAUAGAAGUGUUUCUUCCCUAUUAGCUGUGAUGGUAGGGUAAGGGCCUACCAUGGCUAUCAUGGGUACGGGGAAUCAGUGUUCGAUUCCGGAGAAGCAGCCUGAGAAACAGCUACUAUAUCCAAGGACAGCAGCAGGCGCGAAAAUUACUCAAUUCUAAUCAAGAGAGAAGUAGUGAAAAGAAAUAACGACUUUCCACUUCUGUGGAAAGGUACUCUUCGGAGUUUGAAAUGGCCACACCUUAAAUAAGUGUGGGAGUAUCAAGU